AAUCAACGCUGGCGGCGUGCCUAACACAUGCAAGUCGAACGCGAAAGCCCUUUCGGGGGUAAGUAGAGUGGCGUCCGGGUGAGUAACACGUGGGUAAUCUGCCUUCGGGUGGGGAAUAACCCAGGGAAACUUGGGCUAAUACCGCAUAAUGCAGCGGCACCUAAUGGUGAUUAGUUGUUAAAGCGGGGGAUCGCAAGACCUCGCGCCUGAAGAGGAGCCUGCGGCAGAUUAGCUAGUUGGUGAGGUAAUGGCUCACCAAGGCUGCGAUCUGUAGCUGGUCUGAGAGGACGGCCAGCCACACUGGCACUGACACACGGGCCAGACUCCUACGGGAGGCAGCAGUGGGGAAUUUUGGGCAAUGGGCGCAAGCCUGACCCAGCAACGCCGCGUGAGGGAGAAAAUCCUUCGGGAUGUAAACCUCACAAGCAAGGGAAGAGAGCUACGGGCUGAAUAAUCCCGUGGUACGACGGUACCUUGCGUAAGCCACGGCUAACUACGUGC
rnacentral:rRNA from 1 species